rnacentral:rRNA from 1 species
AUUGAACGCUGGCGGCAUGCUUUACACAUGCAAGUCGAACGGCAGCGGGGGCUUCGGUCCGCCGGCGAGUGGCGAACGGGUGAGUAAUGCAUCGGAACGUGCCCAGUCGUGGGGGAUAACACAUCGAAAGAUGUGCUAAUACCGCAUACGUCCUGAGGGAGAAAGCGGGGGAUCUUCGGACCUCGCGCGAUUGGAGCGGCCGAUGUCGGAUUAGCUAGUUGGUGGGGUAAAGGCCCACCAAGGCGACGAUCCGUAGCGGGUCUGAGAGGAUGAUCCGCCACACUGGGACUGAGACACGGCCCAGACUCCUACGGGAGGCAGCAGUGAGGAAUAUUGGUCAAUGGACGCAAGUCUGAACCAGCCACGUCGCGUGAAGGAAGACGGCCCUACGGGUUGUAAACUUCUUUUAUACGGGAAUAAAGUGCCCCACGCGUGGGGUUUUGCAUGUACCGUAUGAAUAAGGAUCGGCUAACUCCGUGCCAGCAGCCGCGGUAAAUACGC